GCCGAGGUGGCGGAAUUGGUAGACGCGCAUGGCUUAGGACCAUGUCCCGCAAGGGAUGGGGGUUCAAAUCCCCCCCUCGGCA
rnacentral:tRNA from 1 species